UGUAAACGUAAAUGUAAAGGAAGUGGAACCAUUUAACAUGCAGCCAGCUCACAGAGGCAGCAGAUACUAAAUACUGUGUUCUGUCUUUCCACCCUCACUGUGACACACACACUUCAGUUAUACAGUGUGUGUGUGUGUGUGUGUGUGUGUGAGUGUGUGUGUGUGUUUGAUUCAGAUGUGACUGUGCCACCUAAAUCAUGUAGGCGCUGCAGCAGAGUGUCAGAUAUCGACGCCAUGGCAACAACACAAAGCUGCCUGGUUACAUAAAGACGAUCAGAGUUUCAGAGUGAAAAGACAAACUGAUCAAAAACCGACUCAGACUCACCUGAGCGGCUGCCGCCUUCAUCGGAGCUGGACCGAGCUGAUCUCAGACCCCAUUUAGCCCCUUUUCCCGCGUGGCGAAUGGAUCGGAUAACAAUCAGAUUAUUUAAAAGAGUCGAGCGCAGACGGAUCCAAGAAGCAGCAAAGACGGAAUGUGAAAAUCCGAGACUUACUCUGGACAAAUGCUUUAAAGAUGUAAAUGCAUCCGCCUGUGAAAGGUGCAUUUGUUAUGUUCACCUUUCAAAGUGUGAUUAUAUCAGUGACAGAUGUGUGGGAGCAGCCUUGACAUCAGGAGGCAGCCUUCUGUGGCUCUUUGUAGACUUCAGCUGAAAGGGGAUACGUUCAUUUUCACCAAUUCGAACGCGUGAGGACCGCUGUGUCAGCCAUGUUCACCUGCAGCACUAAAGAACAACAGAAACAGAAAAAAAGAGCGCGAGUGUCUGAACAUCGUUACUGACCUGCUGCCUGAAAUCUGCUGGACUUGUUCAUCUUGCUGCUGGUUCAUCAGGCUGUUUUUAGCAGUUAGCAACAAGUGAAAAUAUCUGUCCAGAGCGGCCCGAGGGCAGCAGAGAGAAAACCAGAACACAUUCUCUAUUUUCUCCACAGAAAAAAAAAUCCUCAGUUUCACCCAAAUCACUGAGUGAAGUUAUCAAGAGUCUCUGCAGCCGCUCGCUUUUUAGCGUCUCGAGGGUCCGCAGCCGUCCGGAUGAGGCUGCUUCUUCAUCCCCCGGAGCUAAAACAGACUUCUCCUAUUCUCCGACAGAGUUCACUGCCACUGAAGAAGAAUUU